AUUGAACGCUGGCGGCAGGCUUAACACAUGCCCGUCGAACGAGUGGCGGACGGGUGAGUAAUGCUUGGGAAUCUAGCUUAUGUAGGGGGAUAACUACGGGAAACUGUAGCUAAUACCGCGUACCAUAGGAUGAGCCCAAUUGGGAUUAGGUAGUUGGUGAGGUAAAGGCUCCCCAAGCCGACGAUCUCUAGCUGGUCUGAGAGGUUGACCAGCCACACUUGAAUGGAGACACGGCCCAGACUCCUACGGGAGGCAGCAGUGGGGAAUAUUGCGCAAUGGGGGCAACCUGACGCAGCCAUGCCGCGUGAAUGAAGAAGGCCUUCGGGUUGUAAAGUACUUUCAGUCGGGAGGCGUUACCGACAGAAGAAGCACCGGCUAACUCCGUGCCAGCAGCCGCGGUAAUAC
rnacentral:rRNA from 1 species